rfam:Brassica napus, WGS project CCCW01000000 data, contig: 8679
GGGAAGUGGUGAGUGGUUAAUAACUCGCUAAUAAUGCGAGAAGAGUGUUUCGCUCGGCCUGUUACGACAAUUGAGCGCUCUCCAUAGUCGUACCAUCUGAUCCC